UUUAUUGAUGAUUCAGGAAGAUAUUACAGAGCAAUUAUAAGGAAGAUUACAAGGAAUAAGAUGAAACUUUCUCUCUCUAGAAUGCUCUCAGAUUGGUUAUGAAACCGCUUCGAUGAUCAGCUUAUAUAACAAAUGAGAACAAACCCAGAUUGCACCAGAUUCAGCCAUGUCGAUAACAACUUGUUAACUAACUUGAUUCUUCCCUCGCGCGCCUCAUCACAUUGCAUCACUUAACCUCAGCUCAAAACGUCUUCAUCUCAUACUUUGGAAUCUUAAUUGAGA
rnacentral:lncRNA from 1 species